AAAGCAACAACAAAUUGUUUGGGGAGAUGUGGACCUGAGCCACAGAAAACGCUCUGCAAACCAGAUGGGGCCACAGGAGGGUUUUGCAUUGCCAUCCAUGAGAACAAACAGCAUCACAGCAGUGGGCCGCCUGUAUUGCGAUUACAGAAGCUCUCUAGUUACAUGAAGACCAGCCCGCCUCUGUAAUACAUCCUCAGCCAUACAGACACAGCAUCCCCCCCCGCCAACCCGCACCACCACCACCAUCACUGAGCUCUCAUGGGCUUGCACU